AUUGAACGCUGGCGGCAUGCCUUACACAUGCAAGUCGAACGGUAACGCGGGGCAACCUGGCGACGAGUGGCGAACGGGUGAGUAACACAUCGGAACGUGCCCAGUAGUGGGGGAUAGCCCGGCGAAAGCCGGAUUAAUACCGCAUACGACCUAAGGGUGAAAGCAGGGGAUCGCAAGACCUUGCGCUAUUGGAGCGGCCGAUGUCAGAUUAGGUAGUUGGUGGGGUAAAAGCCUACCAAGCCGACGAUCUGUAGCUGGUCUGAGAGGACGACCAGCCACACUGGGACUGAGACACGGCCCAGACUCCUACGGGAGGCAGCAGUGGGGAAUUUUGGACAAUGGGCGCAAGCCUGAUCCAGCCAUGCCGCGUGAGUGAAGAAGGCCUUC
rnacentral:rRNA from 1 species